AGGAGGAGGAGGAGAAGAAGAAGAAGGAGGAGGAGGAGGAGGAGGAAGAGGAGGAGGAGGAGGAGGGGGAGGAGAAGAAGAAGAAGAAGAAGAAGAAGAAGAAGAAGAAGAAGAAGAAGAAGAAGAAGAAGAAGAAGAAGAAGAAGAAGAAGAAGAAGAAGAAGAAGAAGAAGAAGAAGAACGGGACUUGCUCAGAAGAGCAAUGGGACUGCCCUUCCAGAGGGCUGUUUGAUUUCUGGCACCCACAUGGCAGCUCACAACCAUAUAACCCCACUUACAGGGGAUCUGACACCCUCUCCUGACCUCCAGGGGCACAGACAAAAUAUAUGCAGGCAAAAUACUCAUAACACAUAAAAUUAAACUAAAUUAAAAAAUGCAAGUGGGUGGGGUUUUCCUCCUUUGUCUCUAAUGCUUAUUCGCUGGAGAAUUAUCUCUGUCCCCAUGGCGAUAGGACUAUGUACAGUAAAUAAACAGCAAGGACCUGAGAGCAGCUAGGAUAUAACAGAGCAGAAGUAAAUAAGCAUGGACUGUACAUCGGAGUCGAGGAGGCAAAGAACCUAUCGUUUUAGCCUUACUCAAGUCCUCUUUUUUCUCAGGGAGGGGAACAGGACAUCACUAGAUAUUGAUUUUUUGCUGUCCUGCUAGAGAAUCUCACUCUUUCCAUUGGGAUGGGUCCUCAGAUAUCCGCCCUUGUCCCAUUGGAGAUUAUCCCUAUAAUGAAGAGACAUGAAGCCUGGGGCACCAGGAGGUAUUAGCAUUCAAAGCUAUAGGCCAGUAAGAUCUUGCAGGAAUGGAGUGGAUACUCAAUUUACAUGCAUCCCUUCCCCCCCCCACCCCCUCCCCUAUCCCUGGUACGGACAGGUCUCUGGUGAAAUUGUGUUAGGUGUGAAGAAAAAGCAGUUAAGAGCUGUUGUAGUGCCUAUGUUGGGGUCCUGUCUGGAUCACCUGUUUCUGUGAUCCUGUUAGGCAUCUGGGAGGGUGAAAGGGAGAAAGAAGGAAACUGGGAGAAGGCAGAGAUGUACAAGUGGGUGUUGCCAGCACAAGGAAUUCUAGAGUAUGGUGAUCCCACAGUGUCACUGGGGAAGGUAAGCAGUUGUGUGAGCACCGCCAUUUUGUCUAGUCAUGUGACGGUUGCAAUCUUAGCUUGCCAUGCUAGUGACGUCACUAGCGAAGAUCGUGACAGUGGCACAUGGUUAUUUCCUGAAGCCUGUGGUACAGUCAGCCCCAUGAUAACAUGAGCCAUCUACCUUCAAGGCCCAAGUCCCUAUGGAAUCCAAACAUCUCACAGGUUAUAUAUGGACAGUCACCUGGUAGCUGCCUCCCACUCUUACGUCUGGGCUCAGCAGCUGCUGUCAAUGCAUACAUUUCUCAGAGAAUCUAGGGACUCUCUUGGGCCCCAUCCAUGGAGUGCCAUAAGCUGGGAAGAGGAAAAGAGACAGAGAGAAAUUGAAUCUAAUUUCCAUAGGCUGUGAUUAAUUUACCUUUAGAAACCUGACUCUCAUUUUCAAAUGUUAAAAAGGGGUGGGUGGGUGAGUGGAAAUAGGCCAGUGGCGGCUUUGUUGAGAGAGAGAGAGAGAGAGAGAGAGAGAGAGAGAGAGAGAGAGAGAGAGAGAGGGAACAUCUUGCCAUUUUGCCAUGGCUGGCUUUCUAAGAUGUUAUACCUGUGGAUUUGAGUCUGGGGCACUCAGGUAAUUAGACAAAAUGGCAAAGCUCACACAGCUUAACUUCCUCAAUGCCACUGAGUCCCAGGGGAUCACCACACCCUAGCAUUCCCUGUGCUGCUGCAUUCAGUUGUGCAUCCCUGAUACCUCCCAGUUCCUUUUUCUUCCUUCGCCUUUCCAGAAGCCAGGUUCUCAUGUCUAUUUACAAGGAACUGUCCUGAGACACGUGGAUCCUUGCAGAAAAGGGAUAAUUUAUUAAAGGAGAAUUACAGACAAACUUAGAAGUGCGUCAGACCCAGCCUGUGGGCCAACUCCAAGAGAGGGAGAGAGGAGAGGAGAGGGGUGGCCUGGCGUAACCUUCUGUGUGUCAUUCACAUAGUGCCUGCCCUUCCCAAGUUUAUAUAAAGUACCUGGGAGCUUUUGAGCGCGCUCCUUGAAUGAAGCCCAGGUGGGCCAGCAUCUAGUCUUUUGAUGUUGAUGUUGCCACCUGUCAAAUGUUAAUCUUCGAAGUCUCCACCUAAUUCCCUAUUCUCCAGCCUCGCCCUCUCUUUGCCUUGUCAUCCUUCAAAGCGACAGAGCUGAGGGCUUCUGGGACUCAGCUUCCCAGAGAAAGUGGUGGAGAAUUAUAAAUUUGCAACAGAAUUUUCCUAUCUACAGAAGCAGCACCGCAAGCCCCCUGGCUCUGCAUCUGAGCAGCUGAGACUCUCAGGAGCUCAGCCGGAGCCUGAGAGAAAAGCUUGGCUACUCACCUACAGGGCUAGAUCCUGGGAGGCUGCAUAGACCUCCAAUCCACAGUGUCAGAGGCCAGGAGACUGCCUAGGCCACCAAUCCAGUGUUGGAGCCCAGGAACUUGUCACUCCCCCACCCCCACCCCAUCCCCCUUGAGUCCAGGAUGUCUGACUCCUUCCUGGCAUUUGGACGGGUGAGAUGCGUUCCAGUCAUACUCCCUGGGUGGGAGGCACAAGGAUUCCUGGGACAUUCAUCAGAACCUCCAUCUUCCCCCAGGCACAUGAUUCUGCUGUUCCUUGAAGCACCCUCAUAGGUGGGACCUGAACAGCUGCAAGGGGAUUGAGCGACCAAGAAUUGGAAGCAAAUGGGAGGUUUGACUUGUACAGUGUACACUGUCAACUCUGGGAACUGAAUGAAGGACUGAGCUUGUGUGCCAGCUGCUACUGAGAGGAAGUGAGGCUCCACAUCGAUCCACAUUGGACACUGUUUGCUUGGCACAGAGGCACUGUCUGCCAAGGUCUGCUUGCACCCAGAGAGGAGCAACCUUGACCUAUGGCACAAAGGCCUCACCUUAGGCUAAGCACCCCCAGGCCAUCUGCAGAAGGCUGCUGCCCACAUCUCUAACCACUCCAGAGUAGGUAAUUCCCAGCUCUUCUUCAUAACUCCCCCUUCCCUGUCCUGUCUGUGUGUGCCCAGAUAAACCAACUUCACAUCUUGAUGUCUCCCUCCCCCUCUCCCUCUUCCUCUCCGUGUGUGUGUGUGUGUGUGUGUGUGUGUGUGGUGUGUGGUGUGUGGUGUGUGUGUGUAUAUGGUGUGCACACCCGUGCACAUAUAUGCAAAUGGAAGGGUAAAUGAGACCCUAAUAGUUUCUUCUUUUCUCAUCCUAGGCUCCCCUCUGGCCCUAUGUCAUCUCCUGUCUCCCACACCCCACAUCUAUAUCUUUGACACAUGGUCCUGCUCUCAGUCCUUUCUUACCCUCUUCUUGGCACCACCUGUCUUAGAUACGGUUUCGUUGCUGUGGAGAGUCACUGUGACCAAGGCAACUCUUAUAAAGGCUAACAUUUAACUGGGGCUUGCUUACAGUUUCAGAGGUUAAGUCCAUUGUCACCAUGGUGGGAAACAUAGCAGCAUCCAGGCAGACAUGGUGCUGGAGACAGAACACAGAGUUCUACAUCUUGAUCUGCAGGCAGCAAGGAAGAGACUGUCUGGAUGUAUCUUGAGCAUACUAGACCUCAAAGCCCACCCCCCACAAUGACACACUUCCUCCAACAAGGCCACACCUGCUAAUAGUGCCACUCCCUAUGGGCCAAGUCAAACCAUCACACUGCCUAAUUUCCCUUUUAGCCUCUUAUAGGUCCUGGGGCCUUCCCUGCUAAGCAGGAGGGGUACAGUCCAGGGCAAGGCGCUUCGGGGGUACAGAUUAGCAUCUUAGAUGGCACUUAGGACUGAGCUCGGACAGGAUGUAAGACGAAACCUUUGUAGGGCAGAACCCAACUGUGAGCCAGGGUCCUAGACCAGCAGGUUCUUUCCCCCAGGAGGUCCUAGGACAACCUUAGUGGACAAACUAAGGGCUUAGGUCUCAGGUCAUAAAACUCAAGUUCCUCAGACCCUUCGGCUCCAGCUGCUAUGGGACUCGUGAGAGAACCAGCAGCCUAUAGGACGGUCAGUACAGUCAGAAUGAACACCAGAAACCAGGAGGUGAUAGGUAGGUGUGGAUUGAGAAGACUAAAUGCCAUAAAAAAUUUAUCAAAAUGUUAUGGGUGACUUUAUACUGAUUACUUGUUGAAAUAAUAUUUUGUAUAUUCUGGAUGAAAUAAAUGUAGCCACUUGUUUCUCUUUUUGUUUAGACAGAGUCUUGCUGUGUGGCCCAGACUGACAUAUUCUUUCUGCCUCAGUCUUCCAAAAGCUGAGAUUGUAGACCUGCCUGGCUCUUUUUUGCUUUUUUAAUUAAAGAUUUAUUUAUUUAUUUAUUUAUUUAUUUAUUUAUUUAUUUAUUUAUUAUAAGUAUGCUGUAGCUGUCUUCAGACACACCAGAAGAGGGCAUCAGAUCUCAUUACAGAUGGUUGUGAGCUACCAUGUGGUUGCUGGGAAUUGAACUCAGGACCUCUGGAAGAGCAGUCAGUGCUCUUAACCACUGAGCCAUCUCUCCAGCCCCCUUUUUUGCUUUUUAAAUAUUGCAAUUAAAUUGUAUUUGUUUUUUCACAUUUGUUUCUGUGGAGUACAGCCAGUUUUAGGUUUGAAAGGCAUCAGAGAGGCCUUCGGAUGGUUUCUCAGAGUGGGAAACAGGUCGUAGAAACUUGCUUUCAUCUCUAGACGCACACUGAUCUGACCGUGGCCAGCAGUCAGCAUCUCCCUGAGGCCCUGUGCUCAGGAGUAAGACUGUUGCAGUGCCUUCCUUUUCCUGGGAGAACAGCUCUUCCCUAGGACCCUGCUCUCUUCAAACCACCCCCAGGGAAAUGGGCCACCAUCUGGGCCCUUAAGAUAAAGUUUAUUGUCAUAGUGAAAUACGGGGGUAAGAGAGGAAUGGAGGAAGGAAGAGAGAGGGAGAGGGGAGUGUUAGGGAAAGAAGUCAUGUUGAUAAAGACGAUAUGGGAGAAGACAUGGUCCUUACUGCACCUACUCACGGGCUCUGGGGCUGUGAGCAGUCCAUGGAAUCCCAAAGCUGCAUCUGCCCUAAGCGCCCUUCCCAGCACAUCCGAAGCCAAAGCAGGUUUAGUACUCCUAAAAGGCAGACACCAGUAGAUUCCUUUUCCCCACCCCACAAUGCAGUUCUUACCCAGGCAAUUACGUUUCCGCCCCUUCUGUUUUACAUUAGGUAGAGAGUAAAGAUGACCCAGUGACUCUCAAAAACUCCUGGCAGAGGGUGGUGGAUGAGAGGGGCAGGCCCCCUUAGCUGGUGGAAUCUGGCACUUCUGGAGGAGGAGAAGUGCCCUUUGCAGAAUGUCAUGUGGAAAUGCGGGUUCCUCAGAAAGGAGCUGGAUCAUUGAGAGCCAAUAAGUACAUACUUACGGUGGAAAACUGCCAGUUCUGGAGGGGUCUCUGCUAUUGCUUUUGGGAUGAUUUUGGGGUACUCCUGAAGGGUCAUCUGACUGUGAUGGUUAGCAUUAGGUAGCAACUAGACUGCUGAAGCUAGACUCUUCCUGCUGAUUUGAACAUCAGACCUGGAGGCCCAGUGGCCUUGAGACACUAGGACUAGUGGCCUCUAGUAGAGCCUCAGAAUAAAUUACACCAUUGACUUCCAUGGUCCGGGCCUUUGAGCUUGGACUAAGCCAUACUGCCAGCACCCCAGGGCCUUCAGAUGGUCCCAUCAUGAGACUAAUCAGAUGCCACACCAUUUUUCACCAUGACUUUCCUCACCCUUACAGUGACAUCCUUUCCAUGAUGUCGGUGAUUAACAUGACCUCUGUCAUCUCUUCAUUGUGUUUGAGGAAGCACACUAGAGGUGACCGCUCAAACACCGCUUAUAGCCAAUUGAAACUCUAUACUCCAGAUGGUUGGGAUUACACUUAGAUAUUCAGGACCCAAGUCUAGUGCCACGUGUUUUUGGUUUUGUUUUUAUCUUUAAUCUUUUAUUACUGUGCAGUCGUUAUCCCCCUCCCGUUCUGCCCUCUGACAGUUCCUCAUCCCAUUCUUCCUCCCCCAUCUCCAGUGAGGGGUUUUUAAAGGUAAAAAAAACCACAUCCUGGUAUCCUGCUUGGCAAGCAAGCAUUUUAACAGAAGCUAAGCUUGCGGGUGCAUCUCGGCCCUGGGUUCCUAGAAUAGACUUGGGUAACAUUCCAUGGGGUUCCUCCAUCGAGGAGAUCAGAUUCAAGUUAAACCAAAAGUGGCCUCAACAAGAAUAAAAGAUGGAGGAGCCUCUCCAUGGUCUUGCCCUGGCACAUUUUGCCCACAGUCUUGCCUCUCCACCUGAUAUCCUGUUACCGUGACUAGUGCCAGCACUGCCAGUGUUCCCGUACCCGUUACCAUCCCCAGAGCCACCCUUACCUCUGUGGUCACCACUGCUAUUGCUCAGAUCACCACCGUCACCUUCACCUCCACCCUGGGCGUUUUCUCAGCCACACACUCCUCCGCUUACGAUGGGGCCUAUGCCUCCUCGACAAGCCUUAUGAACUGAAAACGCCCUAAUGAGAAAGACAUCUACAUUUAAUGUAUGGAGCAUCACAGCGGAAGAGGAUGUGCUACAUAUAGUCUAUGGGUAGCCUGAGAAGAAAUGAAAAUGUAAAACUCAGCCAGGCGUGUUGGCGAAGACACAUAAUCUCAUUUACUGGGGCAACCGAGGCCAAAAGAUUUUGAGUUCAAGGACAGCCUGGGUGACCUAGCUAGACCCUGUCUUUAAAGAAAAGAAAAGGCUGAGCAUAUAGCUCAGUGAUAGAGCACUGGCCUUGCAUGAAUGAAGCCCUAGGUCCAAUCUUUAGUGACUUAAAAAAACAGAACAAAAGUUUAAAAAAAAGACUAUUUAGAGCUAUUCUUUCUUUUAUUUUUUUUUUAUUAUCUAUGAGUACACUGUAGCUGUCUUCAGAUACACCAGAAGAGGGCAUCAGAUCCCAUUACAGAUGGUUGUGAGCCACCAUGUGGUUGCUGAGAUUUGAACUCAGGACCUCUGGAAGAGAGCAGUCGGUGCUCUUAACCGCUGAGCCAUCUCUCCAGCCCCUAGAGCUAUGCUUUUAGCAGUGUGUGUAUCACAUUUGCACCACUGUAAAACCGAGAAGUUCUGUAUUGAGCCAUCUUAAAUCAAGGACCUUGUAAGCUUGGGGAGAAGAAAAGACAGGGAAGAGAUUGAGCAAUUCAGCGAUAGCACAGGCUUCAUCAGGGAAGAGACCGGCAAUGGAGGGUGUCUACUGUAAGAAAACCAGACCUGUUGUCUGGGGUAUAGACUUAUAGACUGGGGUAGUUGGAGAGCAGAAGAUGGAGUAGGAGAAGGGAACUGAAACUCUUCACUUUGGGGCCACAUUGGCUCUUACGAGGACUACUUAGGGAAAUAAGGUAGGCUGAAGAAUAUGGGAUAAGAAAAAGAAAAGAAUGCCAGGUGAUCAAUUAAGUGCCUCUUGUGAUUGGCUGCUUGAGCUUAGGGGCGUGGUCAGUAGGGUGGAAACAGAAAGAAUCUAGAUUAACACUUUAGUUCUAGGAAAGAAAUUACUUUGGUUUCAGGAAUUGUCAUAGUUUAGAUGGAAGAGUCUUACAAAAAUGGCGUGACCAUAGUCAAGAACCAUCCAUAUUCCCAACCGUCAUGUCCACCACUGUCUCUGCAUUUACCUCCAUCACCGUCCCCAUCACUGCCAUCACCACCAUUCCUCCGAAGUCCAGAGCCUGUUGUGUAGCAGUCUCCUCCCAGAUGAAACAUUCCUAUUUAGAUCAUUAUGAUACCCACGGCAGACUCUAUUCAGCAUGGAAGCUUGAAGUAAACACCUCAGAAGUUUUAGGAAGUUCCUGAAACUGUUCAGAAGUACUAGAUUUCCUCCCUCCCCAAGCUUCUGUAAACUAGAAAGACUGCUAAAAGACACUCAAAUAAACUGAGCUGCCCAGAAGGGGUCAGACCAACUGAUCUACCUGCAGGAGAUACUCUCCAAUCUGUUGAGUUACCGGCAAGUUAUGCAGUGGGCUCCAGGUUUCCAGUUCUCAUGAGCUCUUCACCCAUGCUGGGGUGAACUUCGGUGAUACAACUGACUUCAAGUCAUUUCUGCUCCUGUAAGCAAGCACUCAUCCACACUUCAUUCUGUUAGUAACUCCCAAUAAACUCAUUGAUUUACCCAAUGAACUUCCUUACUUUGGUCUGCCAUCACUUCCUAUUGAGGGUGAGUAGACAUUUGCUUGUGCCUCCCUGGGAACACUGGUUGGACUUUUGUGGUAUCUUUGCUUUGUCAAUGGUUCCCUAUCAGGGGUGAAUAGGUUUGUUUGGCUUUUCAGGAAUAGCAUCACACAAAAUUGUCUAGCAUUAAAACUGAGACUCAAGCCCCUACCUACCACCACGUGGCACAGACAAAGACAGCCCAGAGACUCCCUGCCGACCACCUUAAUAAGCAAGUAUGUGAUGGAGAGACGGGAGAGGAAGAGAAGCAGAAUGGUCCGUGCACUAUGAAGAGAGAUGGAACUGGAGACACGAGGGUGGUGAGGAACAGCCUGAUGUGAGAGCCUGUGCUGUUACUUGAGGCCAUGAUGAUGUCCUGACCAUGUCUGGGUCUGUGGCCCUGCAGCUGCAGGAGUCUGUGGACAUCCUAUAGAUCCCAUGCAGGGUUUAUGGCCCCUAUUACCACCAAAGGUUUUGCAGAUGGCCCUGAUCCUUGGGGCCAUGUUGAUGUCUGAGGGUUACACAGCUGGCCCUACCCCUUAUUGGCUGCAUUCCAGGAAAUGUUUCCACAUACCCCAUCCUGCACCUCAUGUGGGCAGCACAGAAGAGCUGGCCCUGGUAGUGUGUAUGGAAAACUGGCCCUGAGGGCAUGAGUGAAGGGGGGAACUGGCCCUGCCCCUUGCCUGAGAAUCUUGGGAGAGCUGGUCCCAGGCAGGGCAUGAGAGCUGAUAAACUGGCCUCACUCCUCACUGGCUGUAGCACUCGGGGAAUUGGGCCCCCCAUCUCACUUGGGCAGUGAGGUAGAACUGGCUCUGAUGGAAUGGACACAGAAAAGCCAGCCCCAAGGGUAUGAGAGCCGGAUAGCUGGCCCUGUCCCUUGCUUAGGCAAAGCAGGAGCUGGCCCUUGUGGUCCCCAGGUAAGAGAGCUGGCAGGAUGACCAACUCAACUGCCACCCAGGCCCAGAUCCAGGGCUAUGAGUUGACCUGCACAUCAUCUACCCUAUUUAUGAAUUUCUGGAGUAUGGGAAGGAACCAGUCCUUGACAUCUCCAUGACACAAGGCGACAUCAGGAUAUCUGAGAGGAGUCAUGGUGAGAAUCCAGUAUUGACAAUGUAGCAGAAGCCAGAGGCCUGGAACCAGACAAAUGACUCAUUGCAAUGAACAUUUGCAAGUAAAGCAGUUUGGGCAAAAGGGCGCACCGUGUGACACACCAUGAACCAUGUAGCUCCCAUGGUGAGAUUUUAUUUUACUUGACUUAUUUUUAUUUUUUGUUUUCUUUGAGAGGGGGGAGGUUGCAAGGGUGGAGGGCAGAUAUGGAAGGAUGGGGAGAUGCGUGGGAUUGGGGUACAUGAUGUGAAAUUCAUAAAGAAUCAAUAAAAAAAGUUAAAAAACAAACAAACUUGAGACUCAAGACCAGGAUCCGUCAGAAAACAUGCUGCCAGGAUGCUAAACACACGGAGACUUUUCAGAGCAGAGGAUCAGCAAGCCAGGUGUCCCCUCUUAACCUGAGAGCUGACCCUUCCUCAGGAUGCUUCUAACAGUUCAUUCAGCUGCCACCCAUGCUUACCCCUAAAGAGACAGCUGCUGCCUAGAUGAAGGAUGGGGGCCAUUAAUCUGGGGCUGCCCUCGUUUGCAUAAUUGUUGCAUGCAUUUGCAUCUAUUUGCUUCCAGCCUCUGAAUACUGCACUGUGGGUGUUUGGGUAUGAUUUGCAUAUCACUGCAGGUGAGGGUCAGGUCUUUAAGACUCGGGUACUUAUUAAUUCCCCCAUCUCCAAGAGAUUCUUUUAUGUGGUGGUUCAGAAAAAAAAAGCUGGAAUGCUUAUUUCUAGAAUGAUCCUGGGGAGUGCUCCAGGUGGAGAGGUGGGUAAGCUCCAGAGUCUGUCAGAAGAGAAUAAUAGUAUGCCACCCUGUCGUCCCUGCUAUCCUCUCCUGACAGGCUACCCUACCUCUCCACCUAGUGAGUCAUGCAUACCCACCUAGACCUGGGCCCCAGCCUAGCCCUGCCCCCAGCAUCCACCCAACCCCUCCCCUCCCAUCCAGAGAGCCCGAACUUGAUGUAAUGGGUAUGGCUACCUGGGGGCUUCCCCCAAAUUUACCAAAGAAAUAACUGGCUGAAAGAAGGAAAAGGGAAGAUGGGCAGAGCCUCCUGCACACCCCCUUCACAGCCUGCCCUUCAGCAUCUCAGACUACUUGUGGGUCCUUAAUUACUGAAUGACACAGGGUGGUCUUUGAAAUGAGAGCCUGGCCUAAAGAGAACCAGAUCCGUUAAUGGAGGACAGCAGAGCCUGAGGUAAACCAGAAACAGCCCCUAAGGCUGUCAUUGUAGUGAUACCCAGCCCCUACUCAACUCUAAGGGCCAUGGGGACAGUGUUUGUGCUGCUUUCAUCCAAACAGUUGGGACUGGGACAGCAGGUGGCUCCCAACUAAUACUAUCAUCUGUGUUCAUAUAGUGGGACUUAUGAAGCAUGAGGAGGCAGAGCCCCAGACACAUGGUUGUCACUGUCGUGAGAGCUCCCCCUUUAUGAAUGAGUUAUCUCCCUAAUGAAAAGAGGACCUGGGAGUGUAGCUCACUGAUAGAGUACUUUCCUAGCAUCCAUGAGUCCCUGUGUUUGAUUCUCAGCACUGCAUAAACCAGGCUUGGUGGCACAAGCCUGUCACCCCAGCAUCAAGGAGGUAGAAGCCAGGGGAAUAAGGCUUCGAGGGUAUCCUAAGCUGCAAAAAGAGUCCCAAGUCAGCCUGGGCUACAUGAGACAGUCUCAACAAAAAUAAA